AUAGAACAUGUCCCGGCGUCCUGUGAGGACUUCACAGGCGGCGUUGGGCUGAAGCUUCUCCCAGCGCUUCCUCCAAGAAGGAACAGGACUCCCGACACCAGAGCAGCUGCAGGUCUUGAGCCCCUCCAGAUCUUCCCACAGACCCCGCAACACACCACACCACAUCAGGAAAAAUGAUAAUCAGACUGGGCCGACUGACUCCUGGAUACUUCCGCCUCCUCCAGAGGCAAGUUGCUGGUGAGGUGCAGAUGCAGCCACAAGACCGUGCUGUAAACCAGAUCGCCAUGAUGCUGGCCAUCAUGGGCCUGGGUUUGUCCUACUACAGUGCCAAACAGAUGAUGGAGAAGGUCCAGGUCCGGCCCGCGCCCUGAAGAGACUUGACUACUCUCGAUUGUUGAAAGAGAUGGAUGAGCCAAUGAGAAGUGAAGGAGAUGGAGCGAGGAAGCGGGAACCACAGCAGUGUCUUCAGGGACCGCACUUUUUUCUCACCUCAGUCAUAGUCACACUCGGACACUGAAUUUCUGGUAUCCCUCACUAACCAUGCGCAGAGACUUCAGGGCUUCUGCUAAGUGUUUUCUAUAUUUUCUGUGGUCAGGACCUUUUGAGGGAUCUGUGGCUCACAUGGGGUCGUGGGUGAGACUGAUUUCAUGGACUGGUUUGGGUGGGUGAUCAAAAAGCAGCUGCCUGCCAACUGGGUCUAACAAUUAGUCGUCACAAGGGUACACGCCUGCAAGAUGCUGUCCGGGGGGAGGAGAGGGCCCUUAUGUAAGUGUAAAUUUUUGCCAGUGCUCAAAGCCUGGCCAGAAAAGGUAGAAUAAUAUGAACAGUCAGGCUUUUAAAGGGAAAGCUGGCUGCAAUUGAGAUGUACCUUUGUGUUUAAAUGUUGGCAGGUGGAGAACACGGUUAAAGGGGAUGAAAAUUUGAGGUUACCUAACCCUUUUAGAUUUUAUCUAUUUGUCCUUUCCCUUCACAAGAGAACCUACAGCCCGUGAACAGAUCAGAAGCUGUACUCGCACACUGUCAAUAUAUAUAUACUUGUGAAAUGUAUCUGCCACGUGUCAGGUUGAGAGAUUAUUUGCACAAAACUUGUUUUGAAAUGUUUUUAAAUACUACAAUAGAUCUGCAAAGGGACUUAAAAGCACUACCUUUUUACGUGUUUUUCUCUGCAUUUCACACAGUUUAACAUGAAUUGAUUAGGUCCUGUGAAUUAAGUAGUGUGUUAAGAACCCUUCCUGCAGUAUCGACUACAUGUCAAUGCAAACAUUUAUCUAAACUAAACAUCGCAUGGGUGUGCAGACUUUAAAUCAAAGCAAAAUUCAUCAGUCUCUCUUGUUUUUAUUGAUGAAUGAAUGUAUUACUUUAUUUUGUAAUGAUUUAAUAAAGCUGUGAAUUUCUU